rnacentral:rRNA from 1 species
AUUCUUCGGAUGAUUUCCUAUUUGACUGAGCGGCGGACGGGUGAGUAACGCGUGGGUAACCUGCCUCAUACAGGGGGAUAACAGUUAGAAAUGACUGCUAAUACCGCAUAAGACCACAGCACUGCAUGGUGCAGGGGUAAAAACUCCGGUGGUAUGAGAUGGACCCGCGUCUGAUUAGUUAGUUGGUGGGGUAACGGCCUACCAAGGCGACGAUCAGUAGCCGGCCUGAGAGGGUGAACGGCCACAUUGGGACUGAGACACGGCCCAGACUCC